GGCCGGUUAGCUCAGUUGGUUGGAGCAGGGUGCUGCUGACACCAAGGUCGUGGGUUUGAUUCCUGUUCGGUCU
rnacentral:tRNA from 1 species